UCCUACGGGGGGCUGCAGUGGGGAAUAUUGCGCAAUGGGGGAAACCCUGACGCAGCAACGCCGCGUGAAGGAAGAAGGCCUUCGGGUUGUAAACUUCUUUGAUUGGGGACGAAGGAAGUGACGGUACCCAAAAAACAAGCCACGGCUAACUACGUGCCAGCAGCCGCGGUAAUACGUAGGUGGCGAGCGUUGUCCGGAAUUACUGGGUGUAAAGGGCGUGUAGGCGGGGAAGCAAGUCAGUUGUGAAAUUCCGGGGCUCAACCUCGGCGUUGCAUCUGAAACUGUUUUUCUUGAGUGCUGGAGAGGAAAGCGGAAUUCCUAGUGUAGCGGUGAAAUGCGUAGAUAUUAGGAGGAACACCAGUGGCGAAGGCGGCUUUCUGGACAGUAACUGACGCUGAGGCGCGAAAGCGUGGGGAGCAAACAGGAUUAGAUGCCCUAGUAGUCU
rnacentral:rRNA from 1 species